AGUGAACGCUGGCGGUAGGCCUAACACAUGCAAGUCGAACGGCAGCACAGGAGAGCUUGCUCUCUGGGUGGCGAGUGGCGGACGGGUGAGGAAUACAUCGGAAUCUACUUUUCCGUGGGGGAUAACGUAGGGAAACUUACGCUAAUACCGCAUACGACCUACGGGUGAAAGCAGGGGACCUUCGGGCCUUGCGCGAUUGAAUGAGCCGAUGUCGGAUUAGCUAGUUGGCGGGGUAAAGGCCCACCAAGGCGACUAUCCGUAGCUGGUCUGAGAGGAUGAUCAGCCACACUGGAACUGAGACACGGUCCAGACUCCUACGGGAGGCAGCAGUGGGGAAUAUUGGACAAUGGGCGCAAGCCUGAUCCAGCCAUACCGCGUGGGUGAAGAAGGCCUUCGGGUUGUAAAGCCCUUUUGUUGGGAAAGAAAUCCAGCCGGCUAAUACCUGGUUGGGAUGACGGUACCCAAAGAAUAAGCACCGGCUAACUUCGUGCCAGCCGCCGCGGUAAAAC
rnacentral:rRNA from 1 species